UCCUCUUCUGGCCAAGAGUCAGCGCCAGGAGGGGGGCAGAGCUGGAGGAGGCCCUGGGGCGAGGGCGGGGCGGUUAGAGGGUCUCUAAGAGCCGGGUAGCCUCAGCUGUCUGAGAAUCUGGCCCCUGGGAAAGAAAAACUAGGGGCGACCACCGCCUCACCCCUCAGCAUGGCGACCUCCACAGGUUAGGCGCCCACGUGGUUAGGGGGAUGUCUUGAGACCUGCCAGAAAGCUAAGUCGCCCUCCACAAAGGACUCGGCUCUGCAGCCUGACAGCUUGAAUUCAGAUUCUGUCUGGCUAGAGUAGCUGGGUCACCUUGGGCAAGUCACUUUCCUUCUGUGCUCCUCCAUCCAGCCUCAGAGUGGCAUUGCUUAUUGUGUGGAUGAAAUGUCAGGAAGAGCAAAAAGCAUCCAGCAGGAGCCAACCACAAGGUGAAUGCUCCAAACCCCGCAACGGCACCAUUCAGCUGCAAGCCGGUCCGUGUCUCCUCCUCCUAACUGGUUGCCUGGCACACAACAGACUCUGCCAGCAUAGGCUGAAUCUGAAUUUGUGGAACUGCAAAGUCACACAAACCCCCACAACGCCGCAGCAUCCUGGCAGGGCUGCCACCAUGAUCCUGCCGACACCCUGAUGUUUACUACCUCCCUCGCCCCCGACUACAGGCCAGGGGCCUGCCCACCCACACCAGCGUUCACGCAGUUAACGCCUUCCACUCCCAGCUCCGAGAGCUGCUGUGUCCCAGCCUCCAGCAGUCACACUGUCACAGUGACACAGUCACACGUAGGCACGCUGAGCCCAGCACCCACCAUAGGACCGCAGGCUCUCUGCAUCGCACAACCUCCUGGCUUUAGGACACCUUGAUCUCAUUCGUUUACACUGUCUCUGUCACCUGCCUUUUGUAGCCACGCACAUCCCUUUGGAGUGCCAGCCCCUCCUCCUGCGGGCACACCCUGAGCACACCAGAGCCUCUCUUCAUGGUCCUAGAUGGGGUGGAGCCAGCCAGGGAAGACUUCCCAGGUGGCCUCUUUACCAGCAGCUGCAGACACCCACCUUCUGUGGCUGGGAGGCACCCUGGGCAGAGGUGGCCUUGGUUCCCAUCCUGGGGUGUCUCUGGGAGGAUUAUCCUCUCAGUACCUUGCUUUUCUUGCCUGUGAGUUAGAGAUGUAGUUGUAGUAAGAGGCAGGAAGGGAUUCGAAGGGACAUGGGAAAUGUUUAGGGCGCUAUGGAAAUGUCUGCUGUCUGCAGUGAUGGGUUCCAGGGCAUACUCACGGCGCAGAACAGACACAUCCCUUUACUGUACCUCAGUAGAGUUGUAAAGGAAUUUUUCCCCACAUCCAGAGCUCAGGGGAGACAGUCCAUGCUAAUUCAGGCCCUGCCCUGGACAGACAUGAGUAAACAGUUACACCAAGGAGGCAAAGUGACAAGCGAGAUGCGUGGGGGUCACGAACACACUGCAUUUGAUGUCUAAAGACUUAGGGGUUAAAAAGUCCUGUCCACCAGCCAGCCAGGUGAUCUUGACUUUGACUUGUAUCCUUGCCUGCAAGUGGAUGAUCAUAGCUACCAUGACUGUUGAGCUGACCCUGGGGUGGAGUGUUCUUUCUCUAAGUAGCUGGUCGGUGCUUCUGUGUGAUAUGUUAGUCCUGUCUUACAGGUGGGCAAACGAGCACAGAGGGGCCAAGCAACUUGUUCAAGGUCACCCAGCCAGAGAGUACUAGAGCCGUUACUUGAACCCAGAUGGUCCAGCUGCAAGGCUCACAUGCUUAGACUGCUGAGAUGCUGUUCCCUGGUAGGAGCUCUCCUCCCACACCCCAACCUAUUCCUUCUGCUGCUCCGGUAGCUGGCACCUCCUCUGGGAAAACCGCAGGCCUGGCUCUCACUCUGGACCCCACGGUCUUGUCUCCAUGUUGCUCAUCUGUCAGUCUAGCCCUAGACUGAGUUCAUGGUGAGCAGAGGCUUCAGCUCCCAUGUAUAGUAGUUGCUCAAUAAGUGUCGGCUGAAGGAAGGAGUCAGUCCUCUCCAGGAAGACCCUCUCAGCCCUGGAGUCGAGGCCAGCCUCCCGUGGGGCCGGGGGAGGAAAUGCUGCGGAAGGAGGUGAGUUCAGUCCCAGGGCCACAAGUCCAGAGGGCUGAGAAUGCUGUGUACUGAGGCCCCUGCUCUGUACCGAAGCGCUGGCACCAACUGUCCCAGGCAAGUUUCCUUUUCCCGCCUGCUAGAGGAGGAAGUGAGGCUGCCAAGGCCACGCGGUCUGGCGCUCUCCAGCCAUGGCCUGCGUGAUGGCAGAGCCUGUGCUCCGCCCCUACACCAUUUAGGUGCCGCCAGUCUCCCAUCCCCCUAACUGUCCCCUCCCACAGCUCCCUGCUCAGAAGGCCUUGCCAGUGGAUAAAGCACUUUCUGACCUUUUUCUCUGGGCCACCUCACAGUCACCUGAGGAGGAAAGUGUUGCCAUCAUGUGGGCCCACUUUACAGAUAGGCAAAGAGAGGCCCAGAGAGAGCAAGAGAGUCUUCCGGUCAGAGAGAAAGAACAUUGGUGAAAGCGCUGCUCUACCCAUUCGCUAGCUGUGUGACCUUGGGAAAAUCUUGUAACCUUUCAGAGCUUUGCGUUCCUCAUCUGUAAAGCAUGGGAACAAUAGCCCUCGCCUCAUUGGGUUAGAAGAGUUAAUACUUCCUCAGUGCUGAGAGCACCCAAUGGGCCUUGCACACAUGUCAGUCAUUGUGAUGGCAAGCUGCGUGUGCAUGAACACACAAGUGCAGCCUUACAACUCCCUGGUUCCUGAGCACUAGAGCCUGGGCUAGGAAAGGGGCCUGAGGCUGGAAGGGCAGCCACCUUUACCCCGGCUGGUUGUCCUCACAGAGUCCCCACCCUGGUAAGGCUCUGGCUGCCCCACACUGAGCUCCAGGGAGACCCAGGAAGGCAGGCAGACAGACCCCAACCCACUCUGCAUCCUCGGCCAGGGCUGUGUACAAAGGCGAGGGAAGCUCUGUUUGUUUUCCUGGGGCCGGGCUGGUGCAUUUUUAGCUCCUCCGGGCUCCAGACAAGGAAGAGGAUGUGGGUGUUUGGACGGCAGCUGGGGCUACCUGCCUUGGAAGCAGCUGGAGUUAGUGUGCAGCCCUCCUGGGGUGAGGGAGCCUGGCCAGGUGGGCUGGGAAGUGACGGGCAGACUCUGAGCCCCUCUCCGCCAUGACACAUGAAGACUGGCUGUCCCCACCAAGGCCUGUCCCAAGUGCACCCUCAUGGCCCAGCACAGUGCUCCUCGGGUGCACACACCCCUGGCCCGUCCCUGCAGAAGCCACUGGGUCAUCACCAGCGGUCCCAAUGCGAGGCAGAGGCCCAGCCAGACCCCAGCCCGACCCGGGGCCUCGGCCACCCAGAGGCGCCUCCUAGGCCUCCAGCACUAUAAUAAUGGUGGCAGCCUCCCUGGCCGGGACAACCCUCUUCCUGAACCGCAGUCCCCUGUUACUACCCUUUCCUGGCAAGGACAGGAGGCCUGCUGAAGCUUCCCUGCACACCCUGCUGGCUGGUGCCCUGAUCCUGUUCACACUGGGAGGGAGGUGACUGAGGCUCACAGCAACAUUAUAGCUUGCCUAGCUUCACCCAGCAAGGAAGUAGCAGUGCCAGCCUUGGACCCAAGACUGUGACACCAGAGCCCACACUUCCGCCAGCUCCAUCUCGUGAUGCCUCCCCCAUGGCCUGGAUCAGAGCUGCCCGGCCUUUGGCUUGUCAUGGUUUGGACAGUGGACGAGUCACACGGGAGAGAUGGUGCCGGGCUGGGAUGAGGGUUGGGGCCAGGACUCACCUGUCUCCCCAGAGUAGGAGGCCAGUCGCUGCCCCCAGGUGUGGGAGGCUAGUGUGGGUCAGUGCACCCUUCCCCAACCAGGAUGUGCUUUCUGGGGGUUCUGAGGAUCCUGGCAGGGGGGAAGUGGGGCAGGCAGGUAGCAGGCAGCCCCUCCUGGUGGGGGACCAGCUUGCCAGAGGGAACUAUUUGUAACUGCCGGGAACAUGGCGGGCCUGUCAAAAGAACGGGAAGCCAGCCACAGCAUAAAAGUCACAAAUCUUUCAUCAAUAUUCAUAAGCAGGCUCUCGGGCUUGGUGUGUCAGGCAGUUGCUCCAAGGCCCCAGAGUGCGUUUGUUCACAUGAGCUGUGUGGCUCGCUGCAGGAGUCGAGCCCUGGUGGCCUUUAUAAGUGGGGAAACCAAGGCCUCCUCCGGCAGCUUUGCCAAGGGUAGGAUCAGAGCAGGCAGGGUUGGGAUUCGAACCCACGCAGCAAGUGCCAGCAUCACCUGGUGACCUCUCUACCCGUCUGCCAGGAAUGGGGGAGACAGCUGCCCAGUUCCCCAGCCCAUGCUCACUUCUCCCACGGAGGUAUUUCUGUAUCUCCCUCUUGCUUUUACUGUGAGCCAGUAAAUGAAUAAAUACUUUUUA